rnacentral:rRNA from 1 species
UACGUAGGGGGCAAGCGUUGUCCGGAAUUAUUGGGCGUAAAGCGCUUGUAGGCGGCCAUUUAAGUCCGCUGUGAAAUCUCGAGGCUCAACUUCGAGCUGUCGGUGGAAACUGUCUGGCUAGAGUCCGGAAGAGGAGAAUGGAAUUCCUGGUGUAGCGGUGAAAUGCGCAGAUAUCAGGAAGAACACCCGUGGCGAAGGCGGUUCUCUGGGACGGUACUGACGCUGAGACGCGAAAGCGUGGGGAGCGAACAGG